UGUGGAUCGGAGUGAAAGGCUAAUCAAGCUCGGAGAUAGCUGGUUCUCCUCGAAAGCUAUUUAGGUAGCGCCUCAUGUAUCACUGUAGGGGGUAGAGCACUGUUUCGGCUAGGGGCCAUCCCGGCUUACCAAACCGAUGCAAACUCCGAAUACCUACAAGUGCCGAGCAUGGGAGACACACGGCGGGUGCUAACGUCCGUCGUGAAAAGGGAAACAACCCAGACCGUCAGCUAAGGUCCAAAGUUAUGGUUAAGUGGGAAACGAUGUGGGAAGGCUUAGACAGCUAGGAGGUUGGCUUAGAAGCAGCCACCCUUUAAAGAAAGCGUAAUAGCUCACUAGUCGAGUCGGCCUGCGCGGAAGAUUUAACGGGGCUCAAACCAUACACCGAAGCUACGGGUAUCACCUUAGGGUGAUGCGGUAGAGGAGCGUUCUGUAAGCCUGUGAAGGUGAGUUGAGAAGCUUGCUGGAGGUAUCAGAAGUGCGAAUGCUGACAUGAGUAACGAUAAUGGGUGUGAAAAACACCCACGCCGAAAGACCAAGGUUUCCUGCGCAACGUUAAUCGACGCAGGGUUAGUCGGUCCCUAAGGCGAGGCUGAAAAGCGUAGUCGAUGGAAAACAGGUUAAUAUUCCUGUACUUCUGGUUAUUGCGAUGGAGGGACGGAGAAGGCUAGGCCAGCUUGGCGUUGGUUGUCCAAGUUUAAGGUGGUAGGCUGGAAUCUUAGGUAAAUCCGGGAUUCUAAGGCCGAGAGCUGAUGACGAGUGUUCUUUUAGAACACGAAGUGGUUGAUGCCAUGCUUCCAAGAAAAGCUUCUAAGCUUCAGGUAACCAGGAACCGUACCCCAAACCGACACAGGUGGUUGGGUAGAGAAUACCAAGGCGCUUGAGAGAACUCGGGUGAAGGAACUAGGCAAAAUGGCACCGUAACUUCGGGAGAAGGUGCGCCGAUGGAGGUGAAGCAUUUACUGCGUAAGCCCCUGUCGGUCGAAGAUACCAGGCCGCUGCGACUGUUUAUUAAAAACACAGCACUCUGCAAACACGAAAGUGGACGUAUAGGGUGUGACGCCUGCCCGGUGCCGGAAGGUUAAUUGAUGGGGUUAGCUAACGCGAAGCUCUUGAUCGAAGCCCCGGUAAACGGCGGCCGUAACUAUAACGGUCCUAAGGUAGCGAAAUUCCUUGUCGGGUAAGUUCCGACCUGCACGAAUGGCGUAACGAUGGCGGCGCUGUCUCCACCCGAGACUCAGUGAAAUUGAAAUCGCUGUGAAGAUGCAGUGUAUCCGCGGCUAGACGGAAAGACCCCGUGAACCUUUACUAUAGCUUUGCACUGGACUUUGAAUUUGCUUGUGUAGGAUAGGUGGGAGGCUUUGAAGCGUGAACGCCAGUUUGCGUGGAGCCAACCUUGAAAUACCACCCUGGCAACUUUGAGGUUCUAACUCAGGUCCGUUAUCCGGAUCGAGGACAGUGUAUGGUGGGUAGUUUGACUGGGGCGGUCUCCUCCUAAAGAGUAACGGAGGAGUACGAAGGUGCGCUCAGACCGGUCGGAAAUCGGUCGUAGAGUAUAAAGGCAAAAGCGCGCUUGACUGCGAGACAGACACGUCGAGCAGGUACGAAAGUAGGUCUUAGUGAUCCGGUGGUUCUGUAUGGAAGGGCCAUCGCUCAACGGAUAAAAGGUACUCCGGGGAUAACAGGCUGAUACCGCCCAAGAGUUCAUAUCGACGGCGGUGUUUGGCACCUCGAUGUCGGCUCAUCACAUCCUGGGGCUGAAGCCGGUCCCAAGGGUAUGGCUGUUCGCCAUUUAAAGUGGUACGCGAGCUGGGUUUAGAACGUCGUGAGACAGUUCGGUCCCUAUCUGCCGUGGACGUUUGAGAUUUGAGAGGGGCUGCUCCUAGUACGAGAGGACCGGAGUGGACGAACCUCUGGUGUUCCGGUUGUCACGCCAGUGGCAUUGCCGGGUAGCUAUGUUCGGGAAAGAUAACCGCUGAAAGCAUCUAAGCGGGAAACUUGCCUCAAGAUGAGAUCUCACUGGAACCUUGAGUUCCCUAAAGGGCCGUCGAAGACUACGACGUUGAUAGGUUGGGUGUGUAAGCGCUGUGAGGCGUUGAGCUAACCAAUACUAAUUGCCCGUGAGGCUUGACCAU
rnacentral:rRNA from 1 species